AUGGCGACUACGACGGACCAUCAGGAAAGUCUGUUGCGCAUGGACUCUGAGACCUCGGUGCAAAUGGGUGAUGAGUUGCCGCCCAUGGAUGAAGAUGCAAUGACUACCAAGACUAGACCUAGAAAGGGCAAAGGGCUAGAGAGGAUCACCAAGUCGCUUGGUAGCAAGGUGCCUAUCCAAAUUGCCGAAGGGCUGAAGCGUCCAGAGAAGCCUCUGCAGUCAGCAAAGCUUGCUUCUGAGUGUGGACUCGUUGCAAGAAACCAUCUUCCGGUUCUUCCUCACUUCAAGCUAUACAAAAAAAAUGCUAGUCUAUUGGAGAACUACAUUGGGAAAGUUGUUGCAAAUUUUGAGAUGAACACGGACUCGGAAACCAUCAAGACCGCGUGCAAAGAUAUUCUGCAGAAAAAUUCAAAGAACAGACGCCAUCAGAUCAAGAAGAAGUAUUUUGAUACCGUAGCCGCAAAUAAAGUCAGCAUCAAGUCUCCGGUACCUGAUCUGGCGGAUGGUGAAUGGCAAGCUCUGGUGGAGAUGUGGUCUACCCCAAGACACAAGGAAACCUGUGUGUCGAACAAGAUGAAUCGAGAAAAAGUCGUGUACAAUCAGAGAACUGGUUCCAGGCACUACACAGCACACAUUUUUGCCACUAAAGAAGAGCAUAAGGGUGAGCAGCUGUCUGCGAUUGACUUGUUUAAGGCCACCCACAACAGCAAGAAGCACGGGUUUUCGGAGCCAGUCAAGACUGCUAUA
rnacentral:rRNA from 1 species